CUGGGAGAGCUGCACUGGCUGCCAUUUGGCUUUUGGCUGGUUGUAACCUUUAGAAUUGUCGUAACAUGGGACUAGAUUACAGGUCCCACCGGUUAUGUCAUUGUGGACAUGCUCCAGGUUCCUUUGCUGAGAAUAGAGAAUGUGUGAACCUGAAGGAGGCUGUGCUGGAAAUGGUGGAAAGGCUAAAGUGUUAAGUGUGCAGACCCCAAAAUCUUUUCCCCAGAAUGGAAUUGUAUGAAGGGUAUCCACAUAUGUUUGUAAAUCCCCAAUAUGCUUCAGAAAAAUCUCCAAUCUGAAGUAUUGUAAUUCAUGCCUUUUUUUAGUUGCAAUUCUGCAUCAACAUUUACUAAAGAGCGAGUUCAUUUACAAAUCAAUGCAUAUUUUUCCAUUCAUAAAAACAUCCCACUGAAUUUUGCAGGAAUUGCACAGAAGGAAAAUUCUCCUGGUCCAAAAUGUAUAUUUUCAACCUAUUUUGUAACAUUUGUUCUAUACUCAGAGUGUUCUUAAAAACAAGCCAUUCUUGUUUUAUGUGUGCCAGAAGAGUAAAAAGCAAGGCAGUUAAUCUUUGACAUCCAUACUUCUGUUAAUGAAUUCACUAUAUUAAGGUUCCUAAGACUGUUUUGGUAUUUAGAAGAGGAGAAAAGUGCAAAUAAUUCCUGAUUACUACUUAUUGAUAAAUGGUAGGACAAACAAACAAAGAAAACCCACUAACACCCUGGGCAAUGAUAAUGACAGAGGAAGAAUGAAUGAAGAUCGUGCUGAGUUUGUGAAGACUAGUAUGAGGCUUUUGAAGUUGAACUAAUGAUUAAGCUAUUCCUAGCUGGUUGCUCCUGCCAAUGGAGGUCUUUCCUUUUGGCACAUGGAAUCUGGAAGCCUGCUGGAGAAGAUGAAGGAGGAGAAAAGCAGCUAGGGAUUCAGUGUAGUCUAUUGGUGGGAAAGAACCUGGUGAACAGAUUGGAUUUAGUUCCUCAUCCUACAUUGUAUAAUAAAGAAGUUUUUGGGGGUGUAAAAGAUGGGCUGUAAUUGUCAGAUUAAGCUGCCAAUCUUAGAAGCGGCUUACUUCACUUCAGAAAUGAAAGUGAAACCUGCAUAAAUGUUUUAAUGUUAUUAAUAUUUUGAUCUCUCCACACACAGAACACCUUUAUGAAUAUUUGAAUACAUACAUAAAAAGAACAAUUUUUCACAGUCGCUAUCUCCUUAAUCCACAGAAUGCUGCAUUUUUGUUAGCACUGUGGAGAGCUAAGUCACCUUGCCCAAUUAUCCUUGUAAAGAUGUGGUUAUGUUGUUAACUUCAUGUUUCUUUACAAAAAAAAGUGAGCCCUCAGAAUUGCUUGUCCGCUUCACUUUGCACUAUUUUAAGUCUCCAGCAAUAUCCUCUGCCAAAUGGUGAUUCAUUUAUGCAAACGGAUAAUUAUGAGGAAAAUGCCACUUUUGACAAGCCAAAUAAGACUGUCAGGAACUUUUUCCCCUAGGGCAGCUCCCCCUUUAUGUUUCCAGUGCUAGAUUGAAUUUGACAUUUAAUUUAAAAGUCCUUGGUAUGCACUCAAAGACUUUAUAAUGAUAAUAGAGAUAAAGCAAUUGAGACCUGCUUAUGACAGAACCUUUAUUCUUCUAGGUGUCCCCAUAUUUCAGAAUUUGCUAAAGUGCUUUAUUUGCAUUAAAAGAAAACCCUCUUGACCUUGAAAUAAGGAGUAACGGAACAGCUCCAGAAGGAUUUAGUUAGAGAACUGAUUAUCUGUAUCUUGGAAAUAGCACUCUGAACCACCUGCUUCAAAUUUGGGGCUGUAGCAUUUAUGCACACAUAUGUACAGGCAAAGCAAAGAAUGCCUCAGCAAAAGAGGCUAUGUUCUGAAUAUUCAAACCAUUAAAUCGGAAUCUUCAACGAAAUUACUUUGUGUAUGCAUAUUCAUCUGUGUUGAGCUGCCGUAGAAAACAUUUAUAUGGACUUUGUUUCCUGGGAGGAGCCAAAUUGUCAAACAAUGAAAGAUAGAGUUGGUCAUGGGAGAAUUCCUUAGGACAUCUCAUGCCAUGAGAUGUCCUAAGGUUGUAUUGUAAACAUACAGAAAACAUUACUCCUGAUUGUGGUUGUAUUGUAAACAUACAGAAAACAUUACUCCUGAUUUAACAGAGCUUUCUCAAAAUUUCCCAGAUGGCUUCCCUGUGAAAGCAACCACCGGAUCCAAUAAUUCAGAUAAUAAAAAUAGUUUGAUUCACUAACACUUGAAGUCAAACACUCUUUUUGUCAUGGUUCUUGGAAUAUGCUAAAAAUAUGCAAAAGGGCCUUUUGCCUCCCUGCAUCAACCUUAGCUGUCCCAUUCUUCAGUGAUUCUUCUUAAGGUAAAGCUGGCUUCCCUGAUUGAUCUCUGCAGUUGUGGAUAUUGGAUCUGAACAAAGCUGUUUCAGAUUGAGAGGUAUAGUGGUUGCCAUAUAGACUUCCAUGGUUGUAUCUUCCCCACAAUGUACUGGAUUUGUCUAGAAACCUCUUGCACCAGAAAAAUAUAUUUAUCAAAUAAAAUGAUUUCAUUUUGAUCAUU